rnacentral:rRNA from 1 species
AUUAAUAAUUAAUAUAUUUAAUAAAAAUAAUUUUAAUUUAAUAAAUAUUUUAAUGGGGGUUAAAGUAUUUUUUAAAGAAAAAAUUUUUAAAUUUAUAGUUAAUUAGUAUUGUGAAAGAAUUUUGAAAUAUUAUGAAAAAUAAAAUUUUUAUAAAGUAAUUUUUAUUUAUUGUAUCUUGUGUAUCAGAGUUUAUUAAAAAUUUUUAAUUUAUAAAUUAAUUUCUCGAAUUUAAAAGAGUUAAAUAAUUAUUAAAGUUAUUGUAGCAAAAUUAUUUUAAAUAAUUAUUUAGAAAUGAAAUGUUAAUCGUUUUUAAAUAUAUCUAGUUUUUAUAGAAAAAAAUUUAAUUUUAAAUUUAAAAAUUAUUUAAUUAAUUUAUUAAUUAAAUAAUUAUUUAAAUUUUAUAAUUUAAGGGAUAAGCUUUAAAUUAAAUUUUUAUAAUAUUAAAUUUUUAUUUUGAAAAUUUUAUAAUUUAUAUUGUUAAUAAAUUUUAUUUUGUUAUAAAUAAUUUCAUUUUUUUUAAAAUUUAAAUUUUAUUUAAUUUUUUAUAUAAAAUUUAUUUAUAAUUAUAUAAAGUUAAUUAUAAUGAUAAAAUUAGUAUAUUAUUUAAUAUUAAAUUAAAAUUAAUUUUUGGUUAAUAAUUAAAUUAAUUAAAAGGAAUUCGGCAAAUAUUUAUUUUCACUUGUUUAUCAAAAACAUGUCUUUUUGUUAUUUAAUUUAAAGUCUAAUCUGCCCACUGAUUUAUAAAAAUUGAAGGGCUGCAGUAUAUUGACUGUACAAAGGUAGCAUAAUCAUUAGUCUCUUAAUUGGUGACUUGUAUGAAAGAUUGGAUGAAAAAUAUACUGUCUCUUAAUUAAUAUAUAGAAUUUAAUUUUUUAUUUAAAAAGUUAAAAUAAUUUAAAAAGACGAGAAGACCCUAUAGAGUUUAAUAAAUUAUUUUAUGAAAGUUUUAUUUAUAUUUACUAAUAAUUUUAUAAAUUUAUUUAUUUUGUUGGGGUGAUAAAAAAAUAAAUUUAACUUUUUUUAAGUAAUUUACAUGAAUAAGUGAUUAAU